rnacentral:rRNA from 1 species
AUGAAGCUCGUGGCAUGGAACUGCCGGGGGCUUGGGAACCCGGUGGCAGUUCGGAGUCUCCUGGCGCUCCAGGAGGCAGAAGAGCCAGAUAUUCUCUUUCUGUCAGAAACGAAAGCGACUGGGAGAGAGAUGGAGUUUUUGAGAUGGAGACUUGGGAUGCCGAAUAUGGUGGUGCAGGAUGCGGUUGGUCGUAGUGGUGGGCUCGCGCUCUUUUAG